rnacentral:rRNA from 1 species
GAUGAACGCUAGCGGGAGGCUUAACACAUGCAAGUCGAGCGGUAAGGCAGCAAUGCCUGAGAGCGGCGCACGGGUGCGUAACGCGUAUGCAACCUGCCUUAUACAGGGGAAUAGCCCAUGGAAACGUGGAUUAAUGUCCCAUAGGAUUACGGAUUCGCAUGGAUUUGUGAUUAAAACUGAGGUGGUAUAAGAUGGGCAUGCGUCUGAUUAGGUAGUUGGUAGGGUAAUGGCCUACCAAGCCGACGAUCAGUAGGGGUUCUGAGAGGAUUACCCCCCACACUGGUACUGAGACACGGACCAGACUCCUACGGGAGGCAGCAGUGAGGAAUAUUGGUCAAUGGCCGGAAGGCUGAACCAGCCAUCCCGCGUGCAGGAUGACGGCCCUAUGGGUUGUAAACUGCUUUUGUACCUGAAGAAACCUGUUUACGAGUAGACAGUUGCCGGUAAGGUAUGAAUAAGCAUCGGCUAACUCCGUGCCAGCAGCCGGCCGUAAAAC